rnacentral:rRNA from 1 species
UACGUAGGGACCGAGCGUUGUCCGGAAUUAUUGGGCGUAAAGAGCUCGUAGGCGGUCUGUCGCGUCGAUCGUGAAAACUUGGGGCUUAACCCUGAGCUUGCGGUCGAUACGGGCAUGACUGGAGUUCGGCAGGGGAGACUGGAAUUCCUGGUGUAGCGGUGAAAUGCGCAGAUAUCAGGAGGAACACCGGUGGCGAGGGCGGGUCUCUGGGCCGAUACUGACGCUGAGGAGCGAAAGCGUGGGGAGCGAACAGG